UACGGGGGGGGCAAGCGUUGUUCGGAAUUACUGGGCGGAAAGGGCUCGUAGGCGGCCAACUAAGUCAGACGUGAAAUCCCUCGGCUUAACCGGGGAACUGCAUCUGAUACUGGAUGGCUUGAGAUUGGGAGAGGGAUGCGGAAUUCCAGGUGUAGCGGUGAAAUGCGUAGAUAUCUGGAGGAACACCGGUGGCGAAGGCGGCAUCCUGGACCAACACUGACGCUGAGGAGCGAAAGCCAGGGGAGCAAACGGG
rnacentral:rRNA from 1 species